rnacentral:rRNA from 1 species
UUUAUGGAGAGUUUGAUCCUGGCUCAGGAUGAACGCUGGCGGCGUGCCUAAUACAUGCAAGUCGAGCGAACGGACGAGAAGCUUGCUUCUCUGAUGUUAGCGGCGGACGGGUGAGUAACACGUGGAUAACCUACCUAUAAGACUGGGAUAACUUCGGGAAACCGGAGCUAAUACCGGAUAAUAUUUUGAACCGCAUGGUUCAAAAGUGAAAGACGGUCUUGCUGUCACUUAUAGAUGGAUCCGCGCUGCAUUAGCUAGUUGGUAAGGUAACGGCUUACCAAGGCAACGAUGCAUAGCCGACCUGAGAGGGUGAUCGGCCACACUGGAACUGAGACACGGUCCAGACUCCUACGGGAGGCAGCAGUAGGGAAUCUUCCGCAAUGGGCGAAAGCCUGACGGAGCAACGCCGCGUGAGUGAUGAAGGUCUUCGGAUCGUAAAACUCUGUUAUUAGGGAAGAACAUAUGUGUAAGUAACUGUGCACAUCUUGACGGUAACUAAUCAGAAAGCCACGGCUAACUACGUGCCAGCAGCCGCGGUAAUACGUAGGUGGCAAGCGUUAUCCGGAAUUAUUGGGCGUAAAGCGCGCGUAGGCGGUUUUUUAAGUCUGAUGUGAAAGCUCACGGCUCAACCGUGGAGGGUCAUUGGAAACUGGAAAACUUGAGUGCAGAAGAGGAAAGUGGAAUUCCAUGUGUAGCGGUGAAAUGCGCAGAGAUAUGGAGGAACACCAGUGGCGAAGGCGACUUUCUGGUCUGUAACUGACGCUGAUGUGCGAAAGCGUGGGGAUCAAACAGGAUUAGAUACCCUGGUAGUCCACGCCGUAAACGAUGAGUGCUAAGUGUUAGGGGGUUUCCGCCCCUUAGUGCUGCAGCUAACGCAUUAAGCACUCCGCCUGGGGAGUACGACCGCAAGGUUGAAACUCAAAGGAAUUGACGGGGACCCGCACAAGCGGUGGAGCAUGUGGUUUAAUUCGAAGCAACGCGAAGAACCUUACCAAAUCUUGACAUCCUUUGACAACUCUAGAGAUAGAGCCUUCCCCUUCGGGGGACAAAGUGACAGGUGGUGCAUGGUUGUCGUCAGCUCGUGUCGUGAGAUGUUGGGUUAAGUCCCGCAACGAGCGCAACCCUUAAGCUUAGUUGCCAUCAUUAAGUUGGGCACUCUAAGUUGACUGCCGGUGACAAACCGGAGGAAGGUGGGGAUGACGUCAAAUCAUCAUGCCCCUUAUGAUUUGGGCUACACACGUGCUACAAUGGACAAUACAAAGGGCAGCGAAACCGCGAGGUCAAGCAAAUCCCAUAAAGUUGUUCUCAGUUCGGAUUGUAGUCUGCAACUCGACUACAUGAAGCUGGAAUCGCUAGUAAUCGUAGAUCAGCAUGCUACGGUGAAUACGUUCCCGGGUCUUGUACACACCGCCCGUCACACCACGAGAGUUUGUAACACCCGAAGCCGGUGGAGUAACCUUUUAGGAGCUAGCCGUCGAAGGUGGGACAAAUGAUUGGGGUGAAGUCGUAACAAGGUAGCCGUAUCGGAAGGUGCGGCUGGAUCACCUCCUUU